GAUGAACGCUAGCGGCAGGCCUAAUACAUGCAAGUCGAACGAGAUUGAGGAGCUUGCUCUUCAUGAAAGUGGCGCACGGGUGCGUAACGCGUAUGCAACCUACCUUAAUCAGGGGGAUAGCCUCUCGAAAGAGAGAUUAACACCGCAUAACAUUAUUAUAUGGCAUCAUAUGAUAAUCAAAUAUUUAUAGGAUUAAGAUGGGCAUGCGUGACAUUAGUUAGUUGGCGGGGUAACGGCCCACCAAGACGAUGAUGUCUAGGGGAUCUGAGAGGAUGACCCACCACACUGGUACUGAGACACGGACCAGACUCCUACGGGAGGCAGCAGUAAGGAAUAUUGGUCAAUGGGCGCGAGCCUGAUGCAGCCAUGCCGCGUGUAUGAAAAAGGCCUUCGGGUUGUAAAGUACUUUCAGCGGGGAGGAAGGCGGUGAAGUUAAUAGCUUCACCGAUUGACGUUACCCGCAGAAGAAGCACCGGCUAACUCCGUGCCAGCCGCCGCGGUAA
rnacentral:rRNA from 1 species